UUCAGUGACAAACAAGAACUUUCUCCCUUUGUUAAUUAGAUGAACAUAUCAUGUGCAAAAACAUUCCAUACGGACACUGUGAUUUCUUGAGCUGCCCGAGGCAUGGCCCUGACAGGUGGGAUGGAAUACUGUUGGUGGAGUUUGCCACUUUGAGGAAAGCCUGAAGAAAUAAAGCAAUAGAAGCAGACUUCAAGUGGAAUUUGCAUUCUUUCUUGCUUUGCUCUCUGAUGAGAAGUGCUGGAGCACGUGUGGUGCUGCCCCAGUGGAGUGGAGCCUGCAGGCAGCACAGCCCAGGGCAGGUGUGCCCUGUUCUCCCUGGCAGUGCCUGGGUAAAGCACUGAGAGAGCAGAUCCUGAAUUAAAGCA